rnacentral:rRNA from 1 species
GAUGAACGCUAGCGGCAGGCCUAACACAUGCAAGUCGAACGGCAGCACGAACUUCGGUUUGGUGGCGAGUGGCGCACGGGUGCGUAACGCGUAUGCAACCUACCCUUUACAGGGGGAUAGCCCAGAGAAAUUUGGAUUAAUACCCCAUCGCAUAUGGAAUCGGCAUCGGUUUCAUAUUAAAGUUUCGGCGGUAAGGGAUGGGCAUGCGUUCUAUUAGCUAGUAGGUGCGGUAACGGCGCACCUAGGCUACGAUAGAUAGGGGCCCUGAGAGGGGGAUCCCCCACACUGGUACUGAGACACGGACCAGACUCCUACGGGAGGCAGCAGUGAGGAAUAUUGGACAAUGGGCGAGAGCCUGAUCCAGCCAUGCCGCGUGCAGGAAGACUGCCCUAUGGGUUGUAAACUGCUUUUAUACGGGAAGAAACACCG